rfam:Felis catus isolate Cinnamon breed Abyssinian chromosome X, whole genome shotgun sequence.
GCCUGGGUGGCUCAGUCGGUUGAGCGUCCGACUUCGGCUCGGGUCACGAUCUCACGGAUCAUGGGUUCGAGCCCCGCGUCGGGCU